GGAGAAAAUAAGAGAAUACAAAAGAGAAGAUGAAGGAUAGCCUGCUGGAGUAUCAAUGUGAAUUCAUUUUAUUAAUGUUUCUAGCUGUAGCAAUCUGAGCUGUAGAUUAGAAAUUAACUCAUGGAGUAUCUUUACUAUGGAAUGCUGUGGUGUCUCAUUUAGAAUUAAUAACAGUAAGACAUCUCUAAAUCAUUAACCAUUGGGCUGAUCACCCAAAAAGUCUUAAACUUUACACCAAUUUCUAUGAGCUGAACUACAGGAAUAGCCAGUUGCAACACCUAUUUUAAUUGUAAGUUUCAAUAAUUCAAUUACGGCCAUCUCUCGGCGGCCCUUCGCCCACAAUUGCAACUCAUAGUUAAUAUCAAGCUACAAUGGGCUAUUUUUAUAAUUUAAACCAAAGUUAUGCAAGGGCACAAAAUUUUGGAUUUUUUGGUUGAUUAACCAUUUGCUAAUCCAUCUAUAAGUUGUGAAUCAUUUAUUAGAGUGUGUUUAUUAUCAUCUUCCUUGUCCUUUCUUUUUCAUCUAAACUUUAAGCUUCCCCUCCCAUUUUUGUCUUCCUAACUCCUUCACAUCCAUUUUUCUGACAAGUAAUAGUUUACUCACGUCUUGCUUCUUUAGUUUCAUAUGAUCUUUUAGUUUGAGCAAUCACUUUGACAUGUUGAUCCUGUUUAGACUGUUCAG
rnacentral:misc_RNA from 1 species